rnacentral:rRNA from 1 species
GGGUUGUGAGGUUAAGCGACUAAGCGUACACGGUGGAUGCCCUGGCAGUCAGAGGCGAUGAAGGACGUGCUAAUCUGCGAUAAGCGCCGGUAAGGUGAUAUGAACCGUUAUAACCGGCGAUUUCCGAAUGGGGAAACCCAGUGUGACUCGUCACACUAUCAUUAACUGAAUCCAUAGGUUAAUGAGGCGAACCGGGGGAACUGAAACAUCUAAGUACCCCGAGGAAAAGAAAUCAACCGAGAUUCCCCCAGUAGCGGCGAGCGAACGGGGAGGAGCCCAGAGCCUGAAUCAGCAUGUGUGUUAGUGGAAGCGUCUGGAAAGGCGCGCGAUACAGGGUGACAGCCCCGUACACAAAAGCGCAUGUGCUGUGAGCUCGAUGAGUAGGGCGGGACACGUGGUAUCCUGUCUGAAUAUGGGGGGACCAUCCUCCAAGGCUAAAUACUCCUGACUGACCGAUAGUGAACCAGUACCGUGAGGGAAAGGCGAAAAGAACCCCGGCGAGGGGAGUGAAAAAGAACCUGAAACCGUGUACGUACAAGCAGUGGGAGCACAGGUUUACCUGUGUGACUGCGUACCUUUUGUAUAAUGGGUCAGCGACUUAUAUUCUGUAGCAAGGUUAACCGAAUAGGGGAGCCGGAGGGAAACCGAGUCUUAACCGGGCGUUAAGUUGCAGGGUAUAGACCCGAAACCCGGUGAUCUAGCCAUGGGCAGGUUGAAGGUUGGGUAACACUAACUGGAGGACCGAACCGACUAAUGUUGAAAAAUUAGCGGAUGACCUGUGGCUGGGGGUGAAAGGCCAAUCAAACCGGGAGAUAGCUGGUUCUCCCCGAAAGCUAUUUAGGUAGCGCCUCGUGAAUUCAUCUCCGGGGGUAGAGCACUGUUUCGGCUAGGGGGCCAUCCCGGCUUACCAACCCGAUGCAAACUGCGAAUACCGGAGAAUGUUAUCACGGGAGACACACGGCGGGUGCUAACGUCCGUCGUGAAGAGGGAAACAACCCAGACCGCCAGCUAAGGUCCCAAAGUCAUGGUUAAGUGGGAAACGAUGUGGGAAGGCCCAGACAGCCAGGAUGUUGGCUUAGAAGCAGCCAUCAUUUAAAGAAAGCGUAAUAGCUCACUGGUCGAGUCGGCCUGCGCGGAAGAUGUAACGGGGCUAAACCAUGCACCGAAGCUGCGGCAGCGAACGUAUCACUUAAAGCGAUUCAGCGGGUUACGAUUGACGGAGCGAAGCGACGUCAAAGCGUAUACAAAGUCGAGUCGGUUUAAGGAUACGUUCGUUGGGUAGGGGAGCGUUCUGUAAGCCUGUGAAGGUGUGUCGUGAGGCAUGCUGGAGGUAUCAGAAGUGCGAAUGCUGACAUAAGUAACGAUAAAGCGGGUGAAAAGCCCGCUCGCCGGAAGACCAAGGGUUCCUGUCCAACGUUAAUCGGGGCAGGGUGAGUCGACCCCUAAGGCGAGGCCGAAAGGCGUAGUCGAUGGGAAACGGGUUAAUAUUCCCGUACUUGGUGUUACUGCGAAGGGGGACGGAGAAGGCUAUGUUGGCCGGGCGACGGUUGUCCCGGUUUAAGCGUGUAGGUGUGUGUUCCAGGUAAAUCCGGUUCACUUUAACACUGAGGCGUGAUGACGAGGCACUACGGUGCUGAAGCAACAAAUGCCCUGCUUCCAGGAAAAGCCUCUAAGCAUCAGGUAACAUCAAAUCGUACCCCAAACCGACACAGGUGGUCAGGUAGAGAAUACCAAGGCGCUUGAGAGAACUCGGGUGAAGGAACUAGGCAAAAUGGUGCCGUAACUUCGGGAGAAGGCACGCUGACAUGUAGGUGAAGUGAUUUACUCAUGGAGCUGAAGUCAGUCGAAGAUACCAGCUGGCUGCAACUGUUUAUUAAAAACACAGCACUGUGCAAACACGAAAGUGGACGUAUACGGUGUGACGCCUGCCCGGUGCCGGAAGGUUAAUUGAUGGGGUCAGCGCAAGCGAAGCUCCUGAUCGAAGCCCCGGUAAACGGCGGCCGUAACUAUAACGGUCCUAAGGUAGCGAAAUUCCUUGUCGGGUAAGUUCCGACCUGCACGAAUGGCGUAAUGAUGGCCAGGCUGUCUCCACCCGAGACUCAGUGAAAUUGAACUCGCUGUGAAGAUGCAGUGUACCCGCGGCAAGACGGAAAGACCCCGUGAACCUUUACUAUAGCUUGACACUGAACAUUGAGCCUUGAUGUGUAGGAUAGGUGGGAGGCUUUGAAGCGUGGACGCCAGUCUGCGUGGAGCCGACCUUGAAAUACCACCCUUUAAUGUUUGAUGUUCUAACGUGGACCCGUAAUCCGGGUUGCGGACAGUGUCUGGUGGGUAGUUUGACUGGGGCGGUCUCCUCCUAAAGAGUAACGGAGGAGCACGAAGGUUGGCUAAUCCUGGUCGGACAUCAGGAGGUUAGUGCAAUGGCAUAAGCCAGCUUGACUGCGAGCGUGACGGCGCGAGCAGGUGCGAAAGCAGGUCAUAGUGAUCCGGUGGUUCUGAAUGGAAGGGCCAUCGCUCAACGGAUAAAAGGUACUCCGGGGAUAACAGGCUGAUACCGCCCAAGAGUUCAUAUCGACGGCGGUGUUUGGCACCUCGAUGUCGGCUCAUCACAUCCUGGGGCUGAAGUAGGUCCCAAGGGUAUGGCUGUUCGCCAUUUAAAGUGGUACGCGAGCUGGGUUUAGAACGUCGUGAGACAGUUCGGUCCCUAUCUGCCGUGGGCGCUGGAGAACUGAGGGGGCUGCUCCUAGUACGAGAGGACCGGAGUGGACGCAUCACUGGUGUUCGGGUUGUCAUGCCAAUGGCACUGCCCGGUAGCUAAAUGCGGAAGAGAUAAGUGCUGAAAGCAUCUAAGCACGAAACUUGCCCCGAGAUGAGUUCUCCCUGAGACUUAGAGUCUCCUGAAGGAACGUUGAAGACGACGACGUUGAUAGGCCGGGUGUGUAAGCGCAGCGAUGCGUUGAGCUAACCGGUACUAAUGAACCGUGAGGCUUAACCUUACAACGCCGAAG